UGAUGCUGACCUUCCCAGGAGCGAUUCGGAGUUUCCUCCGCCCCUGCCUUAGCCCUGCCGGGUGGACUGAGGCUGUAGUUCUUCUCCCGCAAUCGUGAACGCCCCGCACCGCCCAGCACCUCGCCCCGCCAGACCUCCCUCCAGCAACGCUGGCGGCUACCUGCAGCCUGCCUCUUGCCCGCCGCCAAACCCUGAAGGUUUGUAAAAUCCAAGCCUUAAAAGUAGGCGGCGGGAAGGGCCGAGAAGGGCACGAAAUGUCCGAAAAGAGAACACCUCGAAGGUAAUUAAUCCAAUGUUCCCAUUGCGGGGGCCUCUCCUGACCCCAUUUUUCUCCUUCCGGAGCGCUCCGCAGACCGCUGGCAAGGGAGGGCGCGCCAAGCCAGAGCCCAAGGCGCCCUCCAAGAACGCGCGCUACUUGGAAUCCCCCUCCCGGAAACCCGCAAAGCUGGAAAGCACCUCAUCUCAGCCCCUCAUUGCACCAAUAAGGAAGUAGGUCCCAGCGAAAAGAGGCGGCAGGGGCGGAACACACGAGCGACAGAGCUACCGUAAUUUUUUGUUAUAAAUUUGUACAACCAGAUCAGUCCUUGAAAGAUGGGAAAGAGCACUGAUAAUCGCAGAAACAAAAGUGAUCCUUCACCAAAGGUGGCUUGAGAAGCACAGAGGCCUCAUCAGUAGCCUAAGAACAAUGAAGGGAAGAGACAUAUGUGGCCCAAUAACAGGAAAUACACUCUGGGACUUCCCUGGUGGUGCAAUGGUUAAGAAUCCGCCUGCCAAUGCAGGGGACACCAGUUCGAUCCCUGGUCCGGGAAGAUCCUACCUGUCACGGAGCAGCUAAGCCUGUGCGCCACAACUACUGAAGCCUGCGUGCCUAGUACCUGUGCUCCGCAACAAGAGAAGCCACCGCAAUGAGAAGCCCGUGCACCACAACGAAGAGUAGCCCCUGUUCACUGCAACUAGAGAAAGCCCACGUGCAGCAACGAAGACCCAACACAGCCAAAAAUAAAAAUAAAUAAAUAAAAUUUUUAAAAAAAUUGUUAAAAAAAAUCACACACACACAAAAAAAGGUAAUACGCUCUGAAACAUUUAGGGGUAAAGGGGCAUAAUGUCUGCAACUUCCUCUCAAAUGAUCAUAUGUAUAUGUUUAUAUAUAAAAUUAUACAUAAUACAUAAUAUACAUAUUAUUAGAUGUACAUGAUUAUGGAGCAAAUAAGGGCAAUAAGGCAAAAUGUUAACAAUUGAUGAAUUAGGUAAAGGGCAUAUAGCAAUUCUUAUAUGAAAAUAAAAAGUUAUUUAAAAAAUAAAUAAUAAAGCCUCCUGCCAACAGAUGCGGACAAUUCUGAUGUGCAGCAAUUCCUCAUGCUUCUCACAAGUCUUUGAGUUUUCUGAGACAGUAAGUCCCAAGACCUGUAUCCUGGGGUUAAA